rnacentral:rRNA from 1 species
AACGAACGCUGACGGCAGGCUUAACACAUGCAAGUCGAACGCAUCCUUCGGGGUGAGUGGCAGACGGGUGAGUAACGCGUGGGAACGUGCCCUUCAGUUCGGGAUAACCCAGGGAAACUUGGGCUAAUACCGGAUACGUGCGAGAGCAGAAAGAUUUAUCGCUGAAGGAUCGGCCCGCGUCUGAUUAGCUAGUUGGUGGGGUAAUGGCCCACCAAGGCGACGAUCAGUAGCUGGUCUGAGAGGAUGAUCAGCCACAGUGGGACUGAGACACGGCCCAAACUCCUACGGGAGGCAGCAGUGGGGAAUAUGGGACAAUGUGCGCAAGCCUGAUCCAGCCAUGCCGCGUGAGUGAUGAAGGCCUUAGGGUUGUAAAGCUCUUUCGUCCGGGACGAUAAUGACGGUACCGGAAGAAGAAGCCCCGGCUAACUUCGUGCCAGCAGCCGCCGUAA